rnacentral:rRNA from 1 species
UCGGGAAUAUUGCGCAAUGGAGGAAACUCUGACGCAGUGACGCCGCGUGCAGGAAGAAGGUUUUCGGAUUGUAAACUGCUUUAGACAGGGAAGAAAAAAUGACAGUACCUGUAGAAUAAGCUCCGGCUAACUACGUGCCAGCAGCCGCGGUAAUACGUAGGGAGCGAGCGUUAUCCGGAUUUAUUGGGUGUAAAGGGUGCGUAGACGGGAAAUUAAGUUAGUUGUGAAAUCCCUCGGCUCAACUGAGGAACUGCAACUAAACUGAUAUUCUUGAGUACUGGAGAGGAAAGUGGAAUUCCUAGUGUAGCGGUGAAAUGCGUAGAUAUUAGGAGGAACACCAGUGGCGAAGGCGACUUUCUGGACAGAAACUGACGUUGAGGCACGAAAGUGUGGGGAGCAAACAGGAUUAGAUACC